rnacentral:rRNA from 1 species
AUUGAACGCUGGCGGCAGGCCUAACACAUGCAAGUCGAACGGUAACAGGAAGAAGCUUGCUUCUUUGCUGACGAGUGGCGGACGGGUGAGUCAUGUCUGGGAAACUGCCUGAUGGAGGGGGAUAACUACUGGAAACGGUAGCUAAUACCGCAUAACGUCGCAAGCCCAAAGAGGGGGACCUUCGGGCCUCUUGCCAUCGGAUGUGCCCAGAUGGGAUUAGCUAGUAGGUGGGGUAACGGCUCACCUAGGCGACGAUCCCUAGCUGGUCUGAGAGGAUGACCAGCCACACUGGAACUGAGACACGGUCCAGACUCCUACGGGAGGCAGCAGUGGGGAAUAUUGCACAAUGGGCGCAAGCCUGAUGCAGCCAUGCCGCGUGUAUGAAGAAGGCCUUCGGGUUGUAAAGUACUUUCAGCGGGGAGGAAGGGAGUAAAGUUAAUACCUUGGCUCAUUGACGUUACCCGCAGAAGAAGCACCGGCUAACUCCGUG